CAGGUUGUUUCUUUUUUUGGUCCCUUUAUUCCCAGCGUUAAGUCGUCAGGCUCCGAAGUGCGAGUCACAGAGUCGACGCGCCACCGGACUGUGGCUGCGAUGUGGCCGCGGGGAGGAGAGCGGGUCCUGCUGGACCCUUGGCCUGGUGCCCUGAGGCCUUUACUCUCGGAGGGUCCCUCUGCAGCUGCCAUAUUCCAGUAGAGCGUGAAGGCCAGGGGCUGAGCCCCGGGGCAUCGCGUAUGGGCGGCGGGGGGCACUAGGGCUUCCCACUCCCUCCUGCAGGGGUGCUCCUGAACCUGCGGGUGCCGCCCAACACUGUGACAUCACAGGGUCUCCUUCCUGGGCUACUAACGUCCAGAUGCCCAACGGGGAGAGGCCUCCCCUCACCCUGCCACGGGCAGCAGGAUCUUCUGCCGGGUGACUUUUGAUCACCUACUCCUGGGAGCAGGGCACAGAGAACCCAGAAGUCACCCCAAACCCUAGCUGCUACAUCCCAGAGAUGAGACAGAGCAUGGCUCUGCAGUGUGAGCCCGUCUCUGGUCACUUGUACUGCCUGUCGUACCGACAGAGCCUGGAAAGCGGAGCGGAGUUACUGAUUUCCAUCUGUAACAAGCUUCCUUCAGAGAAGACAGGCUUUGUGAAGAACUGAUUCUCAGCUGAGACUCCUGACAGAUCGUACUUGCUCCAAAGACCCUGGCCGCGCAGCUGAGAGACCCAGCCAUGCACCCCUGCCCCAGCAGCUCAGCCCCGGCUUUGCAGGUGCUUCCUGCCCUUGCCCCGAACUCGAGGCUGCUCUGCCCCCAGGCUUUCCCGCAGCCCUUCCUGCCCACAGGGGCGGGGGGCCGGGCUGCAGCGUCUUCCCAGGAGCAGAGGUCAGAAGCUAACUUUAAUUUGCAGAAUAGGAAAUUUGCACGGGGAUAUCCGGGGCUGUGGUAUUAAGGAAAUAUUGUCAGGUGCCACGGAAUGUGGCUAUGGACCCCAAGGGUGGGACAAGUAUGGCCAAGUGAGCGACCAGAUGAGGCUACAGAGGAACCUGUAAAGGACUGACUUUUCAGAAGCUAAGACCUGAGGGUUCUUGAACAAGCAGCAGGAGGGAUGAUGUAGGGGACACUUUAUGAGGGAGAUACUAUAUUUCUUAGGAAUAAGGCAGAUAGACUUAAGUUUUCGAUUAGAUAAAUCAACAUUAGUGUUCAAGGCUAGUUGCAUUUAUCAUAUUGGUUAUACACCUAUUUAUUCAUUUACUAAUUCAUUCAUUUAUUCUUUUUUAAAGUUUUUUAUUUAUUUGGAGAGAGAGAGUGUGUGAGAUCAGGGAGGGGCAGAGAGAGAGAGAGAGAGAGAGAGAGAAUCCCAAGCAGGUCCCGCACUGUCAGUGCUGAGCUGGAUGCAGGGCUCGAACCCACGAAUUGUGAGAUCAUGACCUGAGCAGAAAUCAAGAGCCAGACAUUUAACUGAGCCACCCAGGUGCCCCCAUUCAAUUAUUCUUUAAACAGACAAUAUCCUACCCCAAGCUACGGAAAGUAUAGUUAGUGCGCUGCAGGGACCCCAUGGGCAUUAGAGGAAGAAUGAGUCACAGGGCCGUAUAUGAAUCAGGGCUCAGCCUUCCCUAGGCAGCGAACUCUCCUUCACACCAUGAAGCAGCCAAGUCCUCUAGAAAGGGUGCUGGGGCUGCGAAGACAGAAACGCCAUGGAGAGAACAUGCAAAAUGAAGAGGAGAACUGUAGGAGGGGGAGCCAGAGAAAUGGUCCUGGGGACAGUGGCCAUGGUCCCCCAGGGAAUUUUGCUGGGGGAUUUCCCUGGCAGGAUGGCCCUGAGGACGCUGUCCCUUAUUCUCUGAGGAACCACUAAGGGCUGAGCACAAGGGCACCAGGGAGGACACCCUGCACCAGUGGUUACAAAAGCAGAGCACAGGGCAGCGGAUGGUAUCUUGUGGCAAACACCCCAUCUCCCCCAGUCCUGACCCCCGGAAGCAGCAGACAAGGCCAGUUUUCCUGGUAUCUGGGAAGAAAUGCAAGUCCCUGAUGCAACUCAGCAGAUGGAAAUCUUUAGGAGUCAACCCUGGUUGGGUUCAGCCUCAGAUGGAAGGUGAUUCAGGAACAAUAAACAGUAAAUCUUGGGGCUCCCUAGGGACUUGUAGGCAAUCGAGCCAGGCACACACCUGCACUUCAACAUUGGUAGGUUAAUGCCCAGAAGUGGUGCCUUUUGGAUAUGCACGAAUAUGUGUUCUUCCUUUGUAAGGACAGUUUAGGGAGUUCUGUGAACAUCUGAUAACAUGUAGAUUUCACAAGUAAUUUUAGAAAGAAUUCUGUUUGGAAGAAUGAUACAAAAAUAUAUUAACGGUUGUUGACACUG